UAAAGCGUCCGUAGCUGGCCCUGCAAGUCCGUCGGGAAAUCCACUCGCCUAACGAGUGGGCGUCCGGCGGAAACUACAGGGCUUGGGACCGGAAGACUUGAGGGGUACGUCUGGGGUAGGAGUGAAAUCCUGUAAUCCUGGACGGACCGCCGAUAGCGAAAGCACCUCAAGACGACGGAUCCGACAGUGAGGGACGAAAGCUAGGGUCUCGAAC
rnacentral:rRNA from 1 species